GGGACGAACGCUGGCGGCGUGCUUAACACAUGCAAGUCGAGCGGUAAGGCCUUUCGGGGUACACGAGCGGCGAACGGGUGAGUAACACGUGGGUGAUCUGCCCUGCACUCUGGGAUAAGCCUGGGAAACUGGGUCUAAUACCGGAUAUGACCUGCUCUCGCAUGGGGGUGGGUGGAAAGAUUUAUCGGUGCAGGAUGGGCCCGCGGCCUAUCAGCUUGUUGGUGGGGUAAUGGCCUACCAAGGCGACGACGGGUAGCCGACCUGAGAGGGUGACCGGCCACACUGGGACUGAGACACGGCCCAGACUCCUACGGGAGGCAGCAGUGGGAAUAUGCACAAUGGGCGAAAGCCUGAUGCAGCGACGCCGCGUGAGGAUGAAGGCCGUUCGGGUUGUAAACCUCUUUCAGCGAGGACGAAGCGCAAGUGACGGUACUGCAAGAAGAAGCACCGGCUAACGUACGUGCCAGCACGCCGAC
rnacentral:rRNA from 1 species